GGCAAAUAUUAUGGAUGGCACUUCAUUUCAUAAUAGAACCUGUAUGCACAGCAAUUAGCAGCCGGAAAAUGAGCAGGACAGAGCCAACGUUAGGCAUGCGUAAUGUUUUCAUUAUAGGAGUUACAAAUCACCUAUUAAUCUCCCUCUAAACACCCAGCAACACGCACGCAUUCCUCACCUCAAAGUUGGUUCUGUGCAACUGCUCUAGGUAAACAGAACGAGAUGCCAGGAGGCAGCCUGUCGGUGUUUGAUUUAUGGCGUGAACUGAGCGCCUUUGUGUGUUAAAGACUUGAUUAACCCCCAGGAGCAAAGUGUCACAAUAUCAAACAGCUCCACUGGAGGCUGGCCCUGCAAGGCCCGGCCCACAUGGCCUGCCCAGGACAGUCUGUGUGUCCAGGGUGGUCUGCGUGUCCAGGAUGGUCUGCGUGUCCAGGACAUCUGUGUGUCCAGGGUGGUCUGCAUGUCCAGGACAUCUGUGUGUCCUGGGAGGUCUGCGUGUCCAGGGAAGUCUGUGUGUCCAGGGUGGUCUGCGUGUCCAGGGAAGUCUGUGUGUCCAGGGUGAUCUGUGUGUCCAGGGUGGUCGUAUGUCCAGGAUGGUCUCUGUGUCCAGGGAAGUCUGCAUGUCCUAGGACAGUCUGUGUGUCCAGGAUGUGUGUCCUGGGAAGUUUGCAUGUCCAGGACCCCCAGGGAGCAUUUGCACUUGAUCCAGCUGUGGGGGUUCUUAUGGAUGCCGUCUACAGAAGGGUCACUCUGAAUCCAAAACUCUGAGCAGCAAUGUGUCCUAAGACACUCCUGUCUGCAGCCAGACGGCAUCCUCUCCAGCCUCGCUUCUCGGAGCCGCAUGCUGACCCCGGGCUGUGGGGCACACCUGCCGUAGAUGAGGACAGCCCACUCGACACACACAGGGUCUGCUUGCUUCAGCGCAUGAUCGAGGACCCAUGCGUGUUCACGCAGAGCUCACACACAGAGCUCAGCUGGUGGGGGCAGGAGCUUGUCCCCUCCGCGUCUAGACAACCGCCAAGCCCUGACCAAAACCCUGGCCAGAUGCCUCACGAAACUCGGAAGAUGCACCUACCCUCCUCCAGCACCCAGGGGCUCGGGAAGGAUCCCAUAAGCAAACCCAUCAACAUUCCCGCAGGGAGACAGUUUCGUUACACACGCGUGAUAAAUAGACUCAAAACACCCAUGUUUGUGUCGGGGCGCCACUUCCAACAGGACCAACGGCGGUUGUGUCUCCAAAGGCGUUGGCUUCAGUUCUGGAGGCCAGUACCUGGGCCAAGCCCAGGUGACAGGGGUUGUCAGGCCGCACCUGUGACAGCAGGGGCUGCCGCGUGGAGUCUGCCUGUUGAACUCCCGUAACAGCCCAACCUGCCGGAUGAUGGAAGUUAAAUCCCGUCCAUAGGCCGCCCCUCUUUGUCUCCCGAGGCCUGGGGUCUAACAAACUCUGACAUUUGGGGAAGGGUCUUCCGGUGCUCAGUCUGCAGCAGCCACUGCUGAUGCCCCACCAUCUACUUCCCAGCUUAGGCCCUGGUCGCUGCCAAGGCCAGACCCCAAGGGGCGUAGGCACCAAUGUCCUGCAAGGUUCUGACCCUCCAGGGCAUUCUGAGCAAACAGAGGUGGUCGCGGCAGCGUGAGAACCACAGGGCCCCUCCCCAGCUCAGGGAACCUCCCCAGCUGCCCGUCGUCCAGCUGACUCCCACACCAACACCCUCACCCCUCCUGAGCACAUAAGCUGAGGACCACACAUGUCUGGCUUCCUCUGACGUCAGGACCAGCCGCUCUGGUUGGGGGGCCUAGAAGAGACCCCUGCGGCCCUGGAUCAGGAGGCCAGAGGCCCCGGCUCUUGGGGACUUUGGGACUGCACUAAAGGGCUCUUCUACCCUCUCAGCCGUCAGGCCAACGGAGACCAGAGGACCAUCACUCGUGCUCGGGAGCCGCUCCCGGGACCCAGGGCACCCAGGCAGGAAGACCCGAGAAGUACAGGACACAGGAGGCUCCGUGCGGCCGUGUGACUCUGGACUGGGGCUCACCUUCCACCUCGUCCUCCCCGAGACCCGCACCGUCUCCACAUGUGCACCCGGCCGGCUCUCGGGAACCCCGCUCAACACAGCCACCGCCUGGGCCCUGCCCGUCCGGGGGCCUCGCUGGGCUCCCUCCACCACGCCUGAGGCUGCUUUUCUGCUUUCUGAUCCUGUCCUUCUCAGCUGCCCACAGCCCUCUCCCCGUCGUUCCUCGUCCCCCGUUCUCCUCCCCCCUCAUCCCUCGUAGCUGAGUCCACCUCCGUGCAGAAACAUGUCACUUAGUGAGAAAGCAUUGGCUCCAAAACAGUGUGUGCCAACAAACACUGGGGACAACGCAGACAGCCCAGGGGAGCCCGGAGCCCACAUCAGGCCCGCUCAGCCACUCCAGCCGGGCCUUCAGGCAGGCCUCCUGACCACUCUGCAUCCAGACCCGCGGGGGGCUGCCCUCUGACCAGCCAUGGCGGCCGGCGCAGGUUGGUGGGUGGUGGCCAAAGACACAGACUCCCGGGCAGAGGUGAAGGACUCCAUUCCCACGGCCUUCGCGGUUUUGAGCAUCAGAGCCAGUUCCAGCAGAGUGAGAGGAGGGUGCCGGAGCACCUGCACGGACCUCCUGGGUGCAGGACGGGGACGAGCGGCCUGCCCUCUGUGGGUGAGGCUCGGUCCCUGCCCUCUGCUGUCCACGACACGAACUCCGAGAAGACCCUCUGGUUGACGCCAUUGGUGGCUCAGCUAUGAGCCCUGGUCCCGACACUCGAGCUCAGUGUUCCUGUCAUGAAAUGGGCUUGCCGAGCACUCAGUCCUGGGCUUCCGUGAGCUCUGCAGAUCUUGCCCAGAGCGCAGAGUGCCAGCACUGACCGGAGGACGUGCCCACAGAGGAGCCCCAAGGUGAAGGGUCAGACCCAGGGCGCAGGGGCAGUUUCCCAUCCUCCAGUUGUGGGAAGAUGCCACAGAUGCCGCACACCACGCCCGGUCCUGGGCCUUGCUCCCUCAGUGCAAGUCUACUGCCCCAGACACAGGCCCGUGGCCCCACAGGACAGGAGACAUGCGGGAGGGAGAGAAGCCUAGUUCCGUGAUGGGGUCGCCGAGUGCACACCUCGGGGAGGUGGGGACCCCAUUGCCCUCCACUUCCCAGAGCCUGGGUGUCCCCAGAAGCCCUGUUGGGGGCCACAGGCCGAGAUGCCCCAGGUGAGAGGACCAGCACCUCCCGCCCAGGACUGGCCUCUGCCUGGGGGCCAGCCCCAGAGACAUGCGCUCACUCAGGGCCGUUCCCCAGAACCCCACAGCAGGAGCUCCCCCUCCCCGAGCUCCAGGCUCGUCCAGAGCGGAGGUGGGGGCCCGCUCACUCCCAGUGUCCCCGGCUUCGCAGAAGCACCCCAAAUGCCAGCAAGGCUGCGCUUCGACAGGAGCGUCCCACAGUCAGAAACAAGCUGCAGGGUCGGCCGCUCUGAGGAUGGGCAGGAGCCCCCAAGCCAUGUGCCUCCCAGAUGGAAGGUUCUGCUCGAGCCUCAGCCCCUAUGGUGGCACUGAGAGGAGCCCCCAGCCCCGGCCAGGGGCACUCAGAGCCCCUCAGCCCCAGGAGUCUUGGGACUCAAGCCUCCUCUCCUGGUCACCGUGUGGCGUGUGUGGCCCCUCAGGGCUCAUCCUGGAGGAAGGACGCCCGCCAAGUGGCGCCUGGUGGACAUUCUCUGAGGACCUCGGGGGCACAAGAAGUUCGUGCGGGGUCAACGGACGUCCACUUCAUGUCCAGGAGCAGCUGUGGGCGGAGAGCGGGGGCGUAAUCUAAUCUUCCCCUUCUCGCCACAACGAUCGCACGCUAAGGGCUGCUCUCUCUUAAUUAAGCUCAGCUCCCAAAUCCUUCUAACCACGCAACUUCACAAGAAACAUGUAUCUUUCCAAAUUAGCUUUGUGGCUCAGAAUAACAAGCAGCACAGUUAUAUUAAUUAGUGUACAGGAGCUCUAAGAACUCGUUUGCAGGUUGUUUUAUUUGCUCCAAAGGGAGCCGACAUUUAUUGAGGUGGAGGAUGUUCCAGCCCCACUGGGCACGUUAGGACAUCGCCCGUCAGCUCUCACUGAACUCUGCCGCGGGGGAGGCGGGACGGAGGUUGGGAGAGGGGCAGUGAGGGGACCCCCUGCAUCUGCUGCAAAGCCCACUCCACAUUCCGGAAUCACGUGAGGUUCCCUCCCCCCGCAGCUCCCAUGGUUCCUUAAAGUAACGAAUCUGUCUACACUGCAUGCUUCUUACUGAAAAAGCCAAGAGAAAAUCUUUCUCAAAGAGUGAGAUUUUCAAAUAAGGGGAAUCAGAGUCUUUGUAAAAAUCAAGCCUGUGAGACUCAUCCGGGACUUUCAAAGGGAGCUUGGCGGGGACCAGGGCUCCUGGGACAGCCGCAGGUGUACUUCCCACCCCGGCAACUCCACGUUGCACUGUGGGUGACGGAGCCGAGGCUGCCCCAGCUGAGGACCCCACAGAGGUGGCUCCUGCGGGGUUGGUUCAGAAGCUUCCUCCUGCUGCCUGCGAGUAGAGAAACUUACCCCAACCGCACUCUGGGUGUUUUCAGCUCAAAACGUACACACUAGAGUCGAAGCAGGGAAAUGUCUCUGAGGAAGAGACGCGACCCCAACACAUCAGAGGCCCACUGCCCGUCCCGCUGGUGAUCGUGGUCACCGACGACAAUCGUCUCUGCUCCAGAGAAAACUGAGCGCACUUCAAAACCCAUCAUCAGAGGACACACGGCCAGAUCCGCUUCCCCAGACCGCAGCGUUGCCAGGGUCUUCUGCGGUGCCGAAGGGGAGGGAACCAGGGGAGCCCUCGGGGGCAGUCCCGGGUCAUGGGGCUAGGUCAUGGGGGCUCCAAGGAACCACAUCUGUGAUGCCAUCAGUGCCGACCAGCAAGGGCGGCAGAAAGAAGGACUGAGGACGUGAGCAACGAGGCAGUGACUAUUCUCAUUUGGACACUGCGGGCUCCAGGGCACCAGCACCCACAGGCCUGAGGUCUGGCAUCUGCAGCCCCAGUGCAGCAGGAGUGACCCCUCUGCUGGCAGCAGACAGCCGACUCCCAGGGGGAGGUGGUGUCCCCGCGGCCCCAAGGCUGCGCCAGCAGAGUGUGCGUCCUAAACAUGGGACGCAGCCACAGGGAGCCCAGAGCCUGAGGGGAGGAAGGUGCUUGGAGAUCAGCCAGGGGACGGGGCUGGGGGCAGAUGGGUCCCAGAGAGGCCAGCAUGGGAGGGACAGCAGACAAGGAGCAGCACCCAGACCUGCGGCCCCGACAACCUUGGGGGAUACAGAGGACACACUUACAGAUGCUCUGAGAGAGGGGCAGCUGCCGUGUGGACGGUUAGUGCAGGAGACCCCGUUAAAUAUGACCCGAAGGAAAAUUUAAACGGCCUUUGGAAUAAACGACUUAUGGUGCUUCGUGUGGUUUUGGAAAUGCCAGUCGUGUCCCGAAAAGGGGGAGCUGAGCAAACAGCAGAAUCCAGGUGUCUCCCAGUGACCUGGGAUAGUGGAGUUUCUGCCCGAUGAUCUGGGAUAUCUGGGUGUCUCCUCAGUGACCUGAGACAUUGGGGUGUCUCCCUGGUGGCCUGGGGUGACAGGGUUCCCCACUCUCAUGACUGGACACUCUGUGGAGACCUCUCAGGCUGCAGCGUCCAGGGGCAUCUGUUUUCUCUGCAGCGUUUGCACCCGACGUGUUUUGGUUUCCUCACACUCGUCCGUGAGGGUGCAACACCCCGCCCAAGAAUGGCCUUUGGCCCUGAGGAAGGCGGCGCCAGGCUCCCACAUGAGAGGCAGCCAGUCCGACCAUCCAGGCUGUGCCGAGAGCUCUGCAGAAAGACGGACGGACCUGAAACACAGGAUGCAGCAGGGACUGCUCAGGGGAAGAGGCCGGCCAGACCUCGGCUCCGUGCCGAGGGCUCUGCGAGUGUCGGGCCAACGCCCACCCCAUGUGGAGAGCAGAGCCACACUGAGGUCCGGCAGGAGCUUGCGCUGGAGGCCGGCGUCUGUGCGCUGGAAGAAUCGCGGCCAUCAUAGGCCAGAGGACGGUCGGGUCUUCUCCUCUCCCUGGCGCAGCGAUGGCUCUGCAGAGGGGACGCACACAGUUGCUUCUACCGCACAUUAGAGCAAACCUGGAACCUGGUGCCACUCCACGGGGGCCGGCCGCUGGAGGGCACCUGGAGGCUGGCAGCUGCCUGGCAAGAAGCAACACCUCUUCCAGCUUGAGUGGCAGGCGUUCAUCUCUUCCUCCAGACCAGGGCAGGCGUGCCCUCCACGGGGCCCUGGGGCUUCUCUCGCCUCCACUAUGGAGUCCACGGGCCCAUGGACAUCAGCAGGAGCAAGUUAAUGUGGGCUCAGCCCAUCCUGCCCACAGGGGCACACACAAGCACCUGGGGGCAUAUGCAGGCACACUCAUGCACGUGUGGACACACGGGCACAUUUAGGCACACGGGGGCACAUGUAGGCACACAGGGGCACAUUUAGGCACACGCGGGCACACUCAUGCACACAGGGGCAUACGUGGACUCACAGGGGUGCAUGUAGGCACACGUGGGCACAAGGGCACAUGCAAGUCUGCUGCUGAACACUGCCACCCGUUGCAACCACGACUUCGACUCUGACGUUGGGGACGUGCCAGGUUUGGGUGAAACGCUCGCCUGAGGCUGUUUGUGGGCCGCUACAAAGAACAUCUGGCACCAGGAACAGCAGCUGCUUAAGGCUAAAAAUAGAUCCUCGAGAUUGGGAGGAGAAAAAAAAGAGAGAGAGAGAGAGCAGGUAUGACAACAAAACAGUUGUGCUGCGUGAGAACACGCCCUUCCCGUGGCUUCUGUUCUGCCUGCUUCACCGAGCAAAAGCAACGAUUGCAGGCCUUGCCCACUGAGGCCAUCCUGUGACAAACCUCAGACUGCUUGGAAGGGGCAGACCCUCCUCUGGGUCCCACGCUCCUGGCACAGAGCAGACGACGGUAAAGGAGCGGAUUGCCACCAACCACAGUCAGUGGGUCGAUUGACUAUUUCACAGUGAGGCAUACACAUCCAUAUCGAGUGUAUAAAUAAUAUUUAUUGACAGAACUUCAAGUUUAUAGUGGAACCUGCCAACCACAGAAAAUAAAGACCAGCAAUAGAAUUGAAUACCAAAUUCCACACUUCCUGCCACAGGCCCUGCAUCCCAGUCACUCCUCUACUCUAAAGGAAUGCCACCAGGUCUGUUCCUAGCAGGGCCACCAGCUCUAGCUGCUGUUUGCAAAGUGAGGACUUGCACCCGCCAUGCUCUCUCAGCCCUGCUGGCUCUGACACGCCAGGACCUCGGUCCUGAGAUGUAACCGUGUAGAGGUUCACGAGAACUUUGUUCAUGGAAACUCAACAUCAGAAAGCAGACGGAGACGUAAUAGGAAAGGGCAGUUAAAGUCCCCCAGCUCGAACUGAGAGUUUGGGUUCGUCUCUCGGGAGAAGCCGCGUCUCUAAGUGCCUGGAAGACCACGUGGGAGUGGCAGGCGGUUCGUGAGCAGAAUGCGGGGCUCUUGCAACGGGAAGAGAUGUGAGAGGUCCAGUGUAACUCCUCACAUCCAUAAACAAGGAGAGGAGGUCCAGCAAUGCAAAGCAGCUCACCCCAAUUGCCACCAGCGACAGCUGUCAGAACCAAGACCAGGACCUAUGACCCCUGACCCCAGCCCACUGACCUUCCUUCCACCUCACUCUACUAGCGCAUCCAACCGCCACCAGCAAACAUCAGCAGUUCACUGCCUGUCGGGAUCUUGGACCCCAGCAGUGAUUCUCAGGAUGUGGCCCAUGACAUGGGGGCCGGAGAUGCUCAGUGGCCCGUAGAUCAGAACUGGUUCCCAUGGUGAUAAAAUGCCGCUGGCUUCCUCGCACACUGACGUUUGCGAGGACGGUGCAGAGCCGCGGGGGUGGGACUGAGCGCACGCCUGAGCAGCGCCAAGGUGGUGGCGUCAAGUUGCGCGAGUCCAUCCUCACGCACUUGCGGAUAAACAAAAGCUGCAGCUGCACUUUAAUACGUCCUUAAUAAAGCAAAAAAGGACUAAUUUUAUUACACUUCGACCCUCGAAUGCAGACCUUUCUAGUAUUCUGUGUGAGCGAGGGGGACACACAGAGUGCUCGGGCCAGAUGGUGGCCGUGCCGAAGACAGCGCAGCUGAGCCAUGGCUGGACCAGCCCUUUUGUCGGAGAACACUAUUUCCACCUGAAAGAACAACCAACAGACUCGUUAUUGGGGAGUGGGUGUCAGGCAGACACCGUCCUGAAAAUGAACAGGCGAACCUGCUGCUUUAAGGUAAACAGCUGACGGUGUUUGUUGCUGAGGACAAGGUUUGAGCUUUCAAGCAAAAACUAGAGUUUAGAGGUUGGGGUGUUACUGACAAACAUGACUUUUUGGUGUUGCAUAAAGAGAUGUGCCAGCGUCUGGAAGAUCCUCGUGACCCCAUGAACUGACUUUCUCCAAGUGACCAGAGCACGACGUCCCAAAACCUGCACGGGCGGCAGGUCGUCCAAUGAGCAAGGAGAGCACAGCCUUCGAUGCCGCAGCCCAAGAAGUUUGCCAACGCGGCUUCAGAUUCUGCAGAGCAGCUGACCUUUAAAAACCACAUUCACCAGGUUUGUGUGAUGUCAGAGAAGAAUAUGCACAAUUGUCUGAAGAGGCUAAUAAAUCUGCGUGGGGCCAGACUUCUUUCUAUAUUUCAACCAGCACAGUACCUCACAGCGGCCUGAACACAGAAGCGGAGCGGAGAGUCUGUCUGUUAAGCCAGAGGUAGAAGAGACUUGCAAAAAU
rnacentral:lncRNA from 1 species